GGGGCUAAGGAGGAAAGAGGGAAGGAGGCCGACAAAGCUGCACUGGAACAGGAAGAGACAGCCACUGCUUCCCACGAGCGACAGGAGGAGCAGAGUGCAGCGGUCCACGUUUCUGAGACUUUGGAACAGAAACCUCAUUUUGAGUCAUCAACUGUGAAAAUGGAAACCAUCAGUUUUGGCAGUGUUUCACCAGGAGGAGUAAAGCUAGAAAUUUCUACCAAGGAAGUGCCAGUAGUUCACACUGAAACAAAAACAAUCACAUAUGAAUCAUCACAGGUUGAUCCUGGGGCUGAUCUGGAGCCAGGAGUGCUGAUGAGUGCACAGACGAUCACAUCUGAAACCACUAGUACCACCACCACCCACAUCACCAAAACUGUGAAAGGAGGCAUAUCAGAGACAAGAAUUGAGAAGCGGAUAGUCAUCACAGGAGAUGCAGACAUUGACCAUGACCAGGCACUGGCUCAGGCAAUUAAAGAGGCCAAAGAGCAGCACCCUGACAUGUCAGUGACCAAAGUAGUGGUCCAUAAAGAGACCGAGAUUAUGCCAGAAGAUGGAGAGGAUUGACCAGAGGAAUAACUUAGAUUGCACAUGAAUCCAGUCAUCCAAACCAUUAGGAAAACCAGAGCCUAAAU